CACACACACACGCGCACGCGUACAGCACUGCCUGGAUGCAGAGGUCAGAAAACAACUUGUGAGAGUCAGUCAGUUCUUUCCUUCCACCCUGUGGGACCUGACAGUUGAACUCAGGUCAUCAGGCUUAGUAGUUCAUGUCUCUACCCAUGGAGCAAUCCCCCAAGACUUUUGGUUUUAUGAAUCUACAGAGAAUCUGAUAAGAAAGGCUACCAGACAGAAGAGAAAAAAUAACUAUCUUGUGUUUUGCCAAGUCUCUUCCUCUCACAGGGAAAAACACUUGGCUAGAGAUACUUUGGUAAAUAUACUCAAUGUCAUUUUCACAUUUGAUUUUAUGCCCGGCCCCCUCUACCCUUGGAACUCCUCUCUGUCCUUUCCAUCAAUGUCCACUG
rnacentral:lncRNA from 1 species